CCCUUCUCUUCAACCUAAAACCAUAACCUAAAGAGAGAAAUAAAAAAUCAUCCAAUCUCUAGCCUCUCAAUCUCUCUAAUCUCUUUCAAACUCCCUUUCUCUCAAUUUCUUUUGCGAUUUCAUAGCUAAUUUUGAUCGAGUUCUCGUGUGUCCGUUUGAUAUUGUGAGAAACAUGACCGGUCUUUGGUGGAAUGGCUAGCAAUGUGCAGCGGAGCCCUUGGUUGGAUUAGAUACAUGGUGAAAUUUGUGGCAGUUUUCAUCUCAUUCUGUGGAAGAUGGUCUUUUCCUUGAUUUUAUGUGAGGAUGGAAGUCAUGAAUCUGCAACUUCAAGACUUUCCUUCUCCUUGGUUUUUUUCUUUUUAUUUUGUAAUCUUUAUUGUAAAUCCUACUUGUAUUUUUAAUUUGUAAAGCUAACCAAAGUCAUCUCUGGAAGGAGGGGAAACUUCUUUUAUUUGUUCUACUUUGUAUUCUUUUCUUUUAUGGAUAUCAUUUGGUUUGGACUUCAGGCUUUUGGUUUUGGUUAUCAAAAUCAAUGUGUACGUUUUGAUUUAGUAACUUGGUGAGAAUAUGUUGUUUU